rnacentral:rRNA from 1 species
AGAGUUUGAUCAUGGCUCAGGAUGAACGCUGGCGGCGUGCCUAACACAUGCAAGUCGAACGGAAUUUACAUGAAGCCUAGCGAUUGUAAAUUUAGUGGCGGACGGGUGAGUAACGCGUGGGUAACCUGCCUUGUACUGGGGGACAACUUAGUGGAAACGACUGCUAAUACCGCAUAAGCGCACGGCUUCGCAUGAAGCAGUGUGAAAAACUCCGGUGGUACAAGAUGGACCCGCGUCUGAUUAGCUGGUUGGUGAGGUAACGGCCACCAAGGCGACGAUCAGUAGCCGGCCUGAGAGGGUGAACGGCCACAUUGGGACUGAGACACGGCCCAAACUCCUACGGAGGCA